rnacentral:rRNA from 1 species
UACGAAGGGUGCAAGCGUUACUCGGAAUUACUGGGCGUAAAGCGUGCGUAGGCGGUUUGUUAAGUCCGUUGUGAAAGCCCUGGGCUCAACCUGGGAAUUGCAGUGGAUACUGGCGAGCUAGAGUGCGGUAGAGGAUGGUGGAAUUCCCGGUGUAGCGGUGAAAUGCGUAGAGAUCGGGAGGAACACCCGUGGCGAAGGCGGCCAUCUGGACCAGCACUGACGCUGAGGCGCGAAAGCGUGGGGAGCAAACGGG